CAGCUAAUGGAAUAAGGAUGAACAAAGUUGUUGGAAAAAAUACCUUCGAACAAAUUGACGGGUCUUUGGGUCUUCGAAGUUAGGGCUUCUGCAAUUGGGACAGAAGGUGCAGAUUUGAAGAUGCAAAGAUGAAGUUUGGGGUAAAAUUUUGGGAUUAAUGACAAUUCCUUUACUCAUACCAAACAUUAUUCACAUAAUCAAAUCUCGAUCUCGCUAAUUUUGGGCAAAAUUUGGCGCUAAUAUUGGGUCUGUGAAUCAUCGAGUAUAGUUGCCUGCAAUAAUAUAAUAUAAGAGUUAACAAAAGUUAAAUUAAAAUAGGGGCUGCCAGUCAAAGCUAAAUUAGAAUAUUAAGCUACCCAUCAAGAAGACAUUAAAGGAUGUAUAUUACCCUGGUCGGAUGACUAACGGCGUCUUUGAAAUGGACCUUUUUUCCAUGGAACCUGUUAAUACCUCUUAAGUUAUAGAUAAUGGUAAAUUAGAAAUCUAGAGUCUUAGACAUACACCUAAUGUUAACAUUGUGCUUUUUUAUAAGCCGGGGUGUAUCCAGGAAUUUUGUUUACUAUGGCACAAGGCUACAAGAAAAACAAAACUAUUGACACAUCCGUAACUGUUUGAUAUUAGACACAUUCGAGUUCGACUUGUAAGAUAGGUCCACACUUGAGUACAUUUUAAAGCAUGGGGACCAUAGCUAAUGAGCGCCCAAAGAGUAUAUUAAUAACUAUGUAAAGCAAAAGCUCUAACCAUGCCAAUUUCGAAUAUCACAGACCCACAAACCUUAGUGACACAUGCUAAAAUUCACUAACAACUUUUCACGAUCGUAAUUAAUUUUUUCUUGACAAAAGAACGAAGAAUAUAUUCAUGUAUCAUACUGUAUGCAAUAACAACACUUAAUAACAGAAAAAAUCUAAGUUACCCGCCAACCUUCACAAACCAGCACAAAAUAUAAAGUGUUCCUUAUAAUAAACAAACAUUAUGCUACAAUGAUAUAAAAAUGCAAGCUACUCAGAAACAAAAAGGACAAAAUUCUAACAACAAACAAAUAACACUAAUUUGUUGAACUACUAAAUUAACACAGGAAACUAGGGAAAACAAUUUAUGCCGAAGAUUUAAAGUAGUUUAGUACCUGUCAAAUUAAAAUCUGUGACUUAAAUUGGGUGAAUCAUCAUAGCAUAGUGUUUGUUUACAACUAAUAAAAUUAAAUAUAAAUAGAACUAUAAUUCCAAUUUCAUUGCACAAAACCUCUAAUUAUGAUUAUUAUGACCAACUGAAAAAAAUAAUUAAACUCAGAAGUUUUUGAAAUAAAUUUUAAAGAGGAGAAAAUAAGUGCGUACAAAAAAUGGUAAGGAUUCGAAAGCAAUACCUACAUUAGAUCGAAAAAUAGUAAGGAUUCAAAAGCAAUACCUACAAAUAUUGCCUUCUCAUAUCGUCUCUUACACAAACAAAUACACACAUACAUACAUGUGUGUAUAUAUGAAUCAUUACAGCAGCUAAUGGAAUAAGGAUGAACAAAGUUGUUGGAAAAAAUACCUUCGAACAAAUUGACGGGUCUUUGGGUCUUCGAAGUUAGGGCUUCUGCAAUUGGGACAGAAGGUGCAGAUUUGAAGAUGCAAAGAUGAAGUUUGGGGUAAAAUUUUGGGAUUAAUGACAAUUCCUUUACUCAUACCAAACAUUAUUCACAUAAUCAAAUCUCGAUCUCGCUAAUUUUGGGCAAAAUUUGGCGCUAAUUUUUUUUUUCUCCCGCCUAAACUAUGGCUAAGGAAGAGAGGGGAAAUCAAAUUGGUAGAGACCUAGUUAGCAUCUAUCGAAACUUCAAUUUUGGCUGAUUGAGCGAAACCCUUGAUCGAUCUGGCUAGCUUCCCUAUCUCUAUUUCUCUGAUUUUGGCUGAUUGAUUUUGCUGAUUUUGGCUAGCUUCGCCCUUUCUUUGUUUCUCACGAGUCACAAUUUGCUACUGUAAAG
rnacentral:lncRNA from 1 species